CCUACGGGAGGCAGCAGUGAGGAAUCUUGGUCAAUGGACGAGAGUCUGAACCAGCCAAGUAGCGUGAAGGAUGACUGCCCUAUGGGUUGUAAACUUCUUUUAUAUGGGAAUAAAAUGUUCCACGUGUGGGAUUUUGUAUGUACCAUAUGAAUAAGGAUCGGCUAACUCCGUGCCAGCAGCCGCGGUAAUACGGAGGAUCCGAGCGUUAUCCGGAUUUAUUGGGUUUAAAGGGAGCGUAGGUGGAUUGUUAAGUCAGUUGUGAAAGUUUGCGGCUCAACCGUAAAAUUGCAGUUGAAACUGGCAGUCUUGAGUACAGGAGAGGUGUGCGGAAUUCGUGGUGUAGCGGUGAAAUGCUUAGAUAUCACGAAGAACUCCGAUUGCGAAGGCAGUUCACUGGACUGCAACUGACACUGAGGCUCGAAAGUGUGGGUAUCAAACAGGAUUAGAUACCCUUGUAGUC
rnacentral:rRNA from 1 species